GACGAACGCUGGCGGCGUGCUUAACACAUGCGAGUCGAACGGUAAGGCCCUUCGGGGUACACGAGUGGCGAACGGGUGAGUAACACGUGGGUGAUCUGCCCUGCACUUCGGGAUAAGCCUGGGAAACUGGGUCUAAUACCGGAUAGGACUCCGGACUGCAUGGUCUGGGGUGGAAAGCUUUUGCGGUGUGGGAUGGGCCCGCGGCCUAUCAGCUUGUUGGUGGGGUGAUGGCCUACCAAGGCGACGACGGGUAGCCGGCCUGGGAGGGUGACCGGCCACACUGGGACUGAGAUACGGCCCAGACUCCUACGGGAGGCAGCAGUGGGGAGUAUUGCACAAUGGGCGCAAGCCUGAUGCAGCGACGCCGCGUGAGGGAUGACGGCCUUCGGGUUGUAAACCUCUUUCAGCAUCGACGAAGCGAAAGUGACGGUAGGUGCAGAAGAAGGACCGGCCAACUACGUGCCAGCCGCCGCCGUAA
rnacentral:rRNA from 1 species